rnacentral:rRNA from 1 species
AAUCAACGCUGGCGGCGUGCCUAACACAUGCAAGUCGAACGCGAAAGUGGAGCAAUCCAUGAGUAGAGUGGCAAACGGGUGAGUAACACGUGGGUGACCUGCCUUCGAGUGGGGGAUAACGUCCCGAAAGGGACGCUAAUACCGCAUGACAUGCUGUCCUUGAACGAACGGACAUCAAAGCCGGGGAUCGCAAGACCUGGCGCUUGAAGAGGGGCCCGCGCCUGAUUAGCUAGUUGGUGGGGUAAUGGCUCACCAAGGCAACGAUCAGUAUCCGGCC